AACUUCCGCCAAAAAGCAAACGCGGCAAAAAGCAAAAAUUUCCUCAUUUAUUUUUCACUUUGGCUCUAGGUUUUCUCUUUUCAAUUAGACAGUUACAAUUGAAAUCUUUGUUUGGUAUCUCUCUUCGUUAAGCAUGUUCCCACCUCAAAAUUUAGAUUACAUCUGAAGAUUUUAAUCAUCCAAAGUCCAUCGAAGAUAUGUAUAAAGCAGCUACGCCUACUUUCUACUCCAAGGACAAAUGAUUUGCUUUGCUAGUUUCCACUUUCCAGAAUUCUUCUAUCGUAUUGAUAUGGUUAGUGGCUCCAAUAAAUGGAUUUUAUUGUUCAACAUUGGAGGUCAACUGCCACCUAGUUUUUCCAACUCUCAAAUCAAUCAGGUGCAGAUUCACUUGGAAUCAAGGAAGGUUGUGGACAAGUUAGAAUAAGGGUAUUGAGAAAUAAAGAACUCUUCGGGAGAAAAAGUGAUAUUAGAGAUCCUAGUUGGUAAAUGGAGGUCAAUCAAGGCAAUUCCAUCAACAGAACGAACUGGGAAUAACUGCUUAAAAUUUUUGUUCGCUUCCAAACAAGUGGAAAGAACU